rnacentral:tRNA from 1 species
ACUUCUUUAGUAUAACUAGUACAAUUGACUUCCAAUCAGUUAGUUUCAGACAGACCUGAAAAGAAGUA